AAUAGAUACCCCGGUAGUCCUAGCCGUAAACGAUGAACACUAGGCGUAGUCGGUAUCGACCCCGGCUGUGCCGUAGCUAACGCAUUAAGUGUUCCGCCUGGGGAGUACGGCCGCAAGGCUAAAACUCAAAGGAAUUGACGGGGGGCCCGCACAAGCAGCGGAGCGUGUGGUUUAAUUCGUCGCAACGCGAAGAACCUUACCAGGGCUUGACAUGUGGCGGAAAACGGCGGAAACGUCGUCCCCCCGCAAGGGACCGUCAUGCAGGUGUUGCAUGGCUGUCGUCAGCUCGUGUCGUGAGAUGUUGGGUUAAGUCCCGCAACGAGCGCAACCCCCGUGGCAUGUUGUAUCUCUCAUGCCAGACUGCCGAGAGAAACUCGGAGGAAGGUGGGGAUGACGCCAAGUCAGCAUGGCCCUUACGUCCUGGGCUACACACACGCUACAAUGGCCGGUACAACGGGUUGCCAAACCGCGAGGUGGAGCUAAUCCCUUAAAGCCGGUCUCAGUUCGGAUUGCAGGCUGCAACUCGCCUGCAUGAAGCCGGU
rnacentral:rRNA from 1 species